rnacentral:rRNA from 1 species
ACCGUGAAACUGCGAAUGGCUCAUUAAAUCAGUUAUCGUUUAUUUGAUAGUACCUUACUACUUGGAUAACCGUGGUAAUUCUAGAGCUAAUACAUGCUAAAAACCCCGACUUCGGGAGGGGUGUAUUUAUUAGAUAAAAAACCAAUGCCCUUCGGGGCUCUUUGGUGAUUCAUGAUAACUUAACGGAUCGCAUGGCCUUGCGCCGGCGACGGUUCAUUCAAAUUUCUGCCCUAUCAACUUUCGAUGGUAAGGUAUUGGCUUACCAUGGUUUCAACGGGUAACGGGAGAUUAGGGUUUGACUCCGGAGAGGGAGCCUGAGAAACGGCUACCACAUCCAAGGAAGGCAGCAGGCGCGCAAAUUACCCAAUCCCGACACGGGGAGGUAGUGACAAUAAAUACUGAUACAGGGCUCUUUUGGGUCUUGUAAUCGGAAUGAGUACAAUUUAAACCCCUUAACGAGGAACAAUUGGAGGGCAAGUCUGGUGCCAGCAGCCGCGGUAAUUCCAGCUCCAAUAGCGUAUAUUAAAGUUGUUGCAGUUAAAAAGCUCGUAGUUGAACCUUGGGCCUGGCUGGCCGGUCCGCCUCACCGCGUGUACUGGUCCGGCCGGGCCUUUCCUUCUGGUGAGCCUCAUGCCCUUCACUGGGUGUGUUGGGGAACCAGGACUUUUACUGUGAACAAAUUAGAGUGUUCAAAGCAGGCCUUUGCUCGAAUACAUUAGCAUGGAAUAAUAGAAUAGGACGUGCGGUCCUAUUUUGUUGGUUUCUAGGACCGCCGUAAUGAUUAAUAGGGAUAGUCGGGGGCAUCAGUAUUCAAUUGUCAGAGGUGAAAUUCUUGGAUUUAUUGAAGACUAACUACUGCGAAAGCAUUUGCCAAGGAUGUUUUCAUUAAUCAGUGAACGAAAGUUAGGGGAUCGAAGACGAUCAGAUACCGUCGUAGUCUUAACCGUAAACUAUGCCGACUAGGGAUCGGGCGAUGUUUCUAUCUUGACUCGCUCGGCACCUUACGAGAAAUC